rnacentral:rRNA from 1 species
GAUGAACGCUGGCGGCGUGCUUAACACAUGCAAGUCGAACGAAGCACUUAUCUUUGAUUCUUCGGAUGAAGAGGUUUGUGACUGAGUGGCGGACGGGUGAGUAACGCGUGGGUAACCUGCCUCAUACAGGGGGAUAACAGUUAGAAAUGACUGCUAAUACCGCAUAAGACCACGGAGCCGCAUGGCUCCGUGGGAAAAACUCCGGUGGUAUGAGAUGGACCCGCGUCUGAUUAGGUAGUUGGUGGGGUAACGGCCUACCAAGCCGACGAUCAGUAGCCGACCUGAGAGGGUGACCGGCCACAUUGGGACUGAGACACGGCCCAAACUCCUACGGGAGGCAGCAGUGGGGAAUAUUGCACAAUGGGGGAAACCCUGAUGCAGCGACGCCGCGUGAGCGAAGAAGUAUUUCGGUAUGUAAAGCUCUAUCAGCAGGGAAGAA